GCUAGCGUCGGCCAAGGUUGACCCACGUGCGGUGUAUAUUUCGAGUGUUUUUUUUAGUGAAAAGUAGCUGAUUUUUUUUGUUUUACUAACAUAUUUUGGUGGUGAAAUGUGACUAACAUCCACACUAACAAAAAAAAAAAAAAUCCGCUAUUUAUAGUGUCAAAAUUAAGCUGAUUAAUAAUCAAUUCUUGAUUCCCAGCUUACACCGAUCAACCUCUAAAAGUGUGUCUUCCUUACCCACGCGACAUUGGCGAAGUAAAUUGUACCCAGUUGGUACAGCAGCAAGCCAUAAAAUCAAAAAUUGAAUUGAA